rnacentral:lncRNA from 1 species
GUAGGGCAGGAUCCGCGCUGCGGUCCUCCAUAAAAGGGCCAUAAAAGGGCCAUAAAGGGGCCAUAAAAGGGCAGUGCUUGCGGCGCGACCCCCAGGGCCUCCCAGCCCCUCCGGCCGAGUCCUGCUGCAGCGCUUUGAGCCCCGCCAUCCUCACCCGAGUGCCUCCUCGGCUCCUUCUCCUCUCGUGCCUUUUGUUUCGUCUCCCUCCUCCUCCUCCUCCUCCUCUCUGGAGGCUACAGGGAGAGAGGCCAGAGAGCCUCCAGGAAUGUUCUUGCUUUCCUUAUUAUUAUUAUUAUUAUUAUUAUUUUUUUCUUCUUCUUCUCUCUCUCUUGGCCUGAUUUGAUCCCUUCUUUUCCAUAAUCUGCGUGGUGCCUGCCCAGAAAAUCAGCUGCUGAGUGGAACCCGGCUGCUGAGCCAGCAAUUCACCCCCGCCUCCAUCCCGCAUCCCCCCUCCCGGCCUCCAUCCUGCACCCUGUUGCUGUCCCUGGGCCUUCGUUUAAGAUUCGUGACGACCUUAUGGGGUCCCUUGCUUGCCAU